UCUGUAAACGUGAUUUGUAGUAUUAUAUAGAAAAAAUCUUACGAGCAGAUUCGGUUUACGUCACAUGCACAAAGACGGUGUUCAUUCUGUAUACUGUGAAGCCAAUACCAGAAUUUUUUGGGGAGUCAUCGUAUCCCAGUCUCCCCUACAACUGUGUUAUGUGUUAAAACACUGACAACGAGUAAGCGAGCGCACGAGCAGAAAAAUCAGUUACACUAGGCAUCCGACCACGAGCGAGCUUUAGCGAGCGAGUGUUUUAAAACUUGUUAUUUUUAAUUCGCGCACCAUUCUAUUAUCGAUGUACCAAAAUAACCCAAAAGGCAGUAAUCUCGUGUUAAUUGUCGAGCUCAAAGACAAAAAUUACGCACUCCAUCUUUCCGGCCAAUUCGAGAUUCCAGCGACGAGGUGCUUCAAUGACCAACUAAUGACUUCGCCAUUUUGCGACAAUUGAUGUAUUCGAGAUAUGACCCGAGGUGGUUGGAGGUGGUCGGAAGUGUUUAAGGGAGGUUGCGGGGGAUCGAGGUGGAUGAGGAGAAGGACGGAAAGGAGGAGGAGGAGAUAGAUGAGGAGAAAAAAGUGGACGAGGAGGACGAGGAUAACGAGGAUUUCUGCACUUGAUCGAGGUAUAACCCGAGGUGGUUAGCCGUGGUCGUUAGAGGUGGUUGGCAGCGGUUGGAGGUGAUCGGAGGUGGACGAGGAGGAGGACGAG